CAAAUGAAUUGACGGGGCCCGCACAAGCGGAGGAACAUGUGGUUUAAUUCGAUGAUACGCGAGAACCUUACCUGGGCUUAAAUGUAGAGCGACAGACCGGGAAACUGGUCCUUCUUCGGACGAUCUACAAGGUGCUGCAUGGUUGUCGUCAGCUCGUGCCGUGAGGUGUCGGGUUAAGUCCCAUAACGAGCGCAACCCUUAUCGUUAGUUGCCAGCGGGUCAUGCCGGGGACUCUAACGAAACUGCCGGUGUAAACCGUGAGGAAGGUGGGGAUGACGUCAAAUCAGCACGGCCCUUAUGUCCAGGGCGACACACGUGUUACAAUGGCCGGUACAAAGGGCAGCUACCUGGUGACAGGAUGCUAAUCUCCAAAACCGGUCUCAGUUCGGAUCGAAGUCUGCAACUCGACUUCGUGAAGCUGGAUUCGCUAGUAAUCGCGCAUCAGCCAUGGCGCGGUCGAAUACGUUCCCGGGCCUU
rnacentral:rRNA from 1 species